GCCAGAGGCGAUAGCACGGUGAAAGCACCAGUUCUCAAAGGGUCACUGAAGUUAAGCAACGUUGCGCGUGGUUAGUUUCCGAAC
rnacentral:rRNA from 1 species